UGGAUAACUCUUUAUCCAGAUGCUUCUCUAAGCAUGUUGCAACAACUUGAUCUUUAAGUCAUGUGGUUUCACCUAACAGUUAUUGACCACACUCCUUAGUUAAGCCCGAUCCACCGUUCACAAGCAGGUGCAAGGUCGUCAUUGGGUCCCUCACCUAACAGUUAUUGGGCCCAACCCCAUCUUUACCCUAGAGUAACUCUUUGCUAAUAGAGUGGUUACAUGUUCCUGGUGCAACUGAACCACUGUGAUCAAUCGAGAAUAAUUAACAUCAGUAGCAUACCCAC
rnacentral:lncRNA from 1 species